UAGUGGUCACGGUCUCUCAAUCGGGUUUGAGAGCUAAGAGGGAAUCCGGUGCGCCUGAAUGGCAACGCCGGAGCUGCCCCCGCAACUGUGAGCGGUGAGUCUACAUCCGACCCUGCCAGUGAAACACAUCACUGCAGCAAGGCCACUGAAGCCACACGGCUUUGGGAAGGCCAGGAUGCCGACACUGACCCGCGAGCCAGGAGACCUGCCGCGACACC
rnacentral:ncRNA from 1 species